rnacentral:rRNA from 1 species
UGGGGAAUAUUGGACAAUGGGCGAAAGCCUGAUCCAGCCAUGCCGCGUGUGUGAAGAAGGUCUUCGGAUUGUAAAGCACUUUAAGUUGGGAGGAAGGGCAGUAAGCGAAUACCUUGCUGUUUUGACGUUACCGACAGAAUAAGCACCGGCUAACUCUGUGCCAGCAGCCGCGGUAAUACAGAGGGUGCAAGCGUUAAUCGGAAUUACUGGGCGUAAAGCGCGCGUAGGUGGUUCGUUAAGUUGAAAGUGAAAGCCCCGGGCUCAACCUGGGAACUGCAUCCAAAACUGGCGAGCUAGAGUAGGGCAGAGGGUGGUGGAAUUUCCUGUGUAGCGGUGAAAUGCGUAGAUAUAGGAAGGAACACCAGUGGCGAAGGCGACCACCUGGGCUCAUACUGACACUGAGGUGCGAAAGCGUGGGGAGCAAACAGG